rnacentral:misc_RNA from 1 species
CCGAGGUUACAACUCCCAAACCCCUGUGAACAUACCUAUAUGUUGCCUCGGCGGAUCAGCCCGCGCCCCGUAAAACGGGACGGCCCGCCGCAGGAUCCACAAACUCUGUUUUUAUUGUAACUUCUGAGUAACAAAACAAAUAAAUCA